rnacentral:rRNA from 1 species
UACGUAGGGUGCGAGCGUUGUCCGGAAUUAUUGGGCGUAAAGAGCUCGUAGGCGGUGUGUCGCGUCGGUCGUGAAAACUUGGGGCUUAACUCUGAGCUUGCGGUCGAUACGGGCAUCACUGGAGUUCGGCAGGGGGAGACUGGAAUUCCUGGUGUAGCGGUGAAAUGCGCAGAUAUCAGGAGGAACACCGGUGGCGAAGGCGGAUCUCUGGGCCUUACCUGACGCUGAGGCGCGAAAGCUAGGGGAGCAAACAGG